CGCUUACUUAUACAACAACAAUGUACAUGCAAUUUAGUUUUCUACAGGGAAAAUAAAAUAAGAAAAAAGAUGGAAUGAUUUGAUAUUCGGUACUUUUGUUGGGGUUGAGAAACAGGAGUUUUUUCCACUAGGUUUUGUAGCCGUAGGGUUUAAGCGUUAAACAUGGUAUACAAUUAUAAUAUGACCUACAGGCACCAGCUGCAUGCGCCUUCAAUUCCUGUGGUAAGCCUAAAAAUACCCAUAUAGGGAUUGAACUCAAUUAAGGUUAGAAUCAAACUCUUACCAAAAUAAUCGAAUUUCAUCGAUUCAAUUCGAUUAUUUAUUUUUUUUUUUGAGAGGGCUUUACCUACAAAGUCAGGAGUAUGAAUCCUUGAAUCAUCCUUGUUAGGAGGACUUCAUCUGACUACCACUCCCGAUCCGUGCAUUGAAAUACUAUACACUUUAAUUUUUUUUUUUAAAAAAAGCAAAAUUAAAAAAUUAAAUCAAAUAAUCAUUAAUAUCCAAGCUAGCAAACAUACUAAUCAUCAUCCUCACUUUCAUCGCUGUAUGACACAGGAACAGUUUUUGCGACAUUAGGGAACUUGUUAGCAUCACUAUUAGGUAUUUUCACUAGGUCUGAAGAUUUUUCUGUAUCAAUAUCAGGUGUUCUCACAAUGUCUGAAGGUUCAACAUUUUCCACAUCUGUCUUUGCUUUCUUUGCCUGUGGUUUGACCUUAAUAAUCAUACUUAAUGGGCGAGCAGGUGGAUUCUUCUUCCCAACAGUUCUCUGUUCCUGCAAGAAGAAAAAAAAGGUUCCAAUUAGAAAGAGCAUGCCAACUCUUAGGGCAAUUCACAUUUCAACCACAAUGUUCAUUAAUCACUUCAACGAAUGCUCAAACAAAUAAUCAUUGCCAACCUUGUAGUUUAAACUUUUUACCAUUUACUUUAUUUCUUUAUGAGUUCAGUGGCAUUUAGUUCUGCAAAUGGAAAAUGAUGGUGAAUAAAAAUUAGAGAGAAAAUAUAAAUUUUUUGCAUGCAUCAAUACAAAAAUGAUGGUGAUUAAAUAUUAUACACGUUGAUGCUAUACUUUUUAAAUAUUAGAUACUUUGAUGCUAUAGUUUUCCCUAUAUUAACCAUAGAAUCCAUAUCAUUCUAGCAUGUGGGCAUACACGUAAAACAUGAAGGGGAAAGGAACACACUCGUACACAUACACAAGCAUGCACAUGUGUGUCUGUGUCUUCACGUGUAAAGCCUAUAAUAUCAGAACAUUAACAAGUACAACAUCCCACAUAACAUAAUGAAACUAAUCUGAACUGCAGGAACAGGCGGUGUUUCCUUCAAUUUGUGUACAAUCGUAGACUGUGCGGCAACUGCUGCCUGAAAAAGAAAUCAAACAGUACCAUAUGAGAUGAAAGACAUAAUAAAAUUGAAAGAUCAAAAGUUCUUAACACAUCAUUACAAAGGGUUUUCAAAAAAAAUAAAAAUUAGGGAUGCUCUGAACAUUAUGUAUAGAAUUACUCAGAGCAAAAUUCAGUUUUAAUUGAAUAACUGAACCAAACCAAUUGAAUUCAAUUUUCCGAUUCAGCCAUUUGGUUUACUAGGUUCAGUUUCAGUUUGAAUUUUAUAAAAAUCAGUUUUUGGUUUGAUUACUGACAGAAGUUUCCACAAGGACUAAUUUUUAUGCUAAUCAGAGAUGUUUAUAUCAACAAAUUAGAAUGUACAACUUCAUUUUUCCACAUGGACAACACUCCCAUCAAUAGACUAAAUUUUCCACAAGGAAAUGAAUAUCAACUCCCACUACCAUGAGCUUCAAUAAAAACAAGGCAAAACCUUGUCAAUGCUAAUUACCAGAUUUAGAUUCCUAAAUAUGACGUCAAAGCAAUACCCUGAAUUUACAUCUUAAAGUGAUAGUAGUUCUCCAACUCGUAUAAAGUUAGUAAAUUACUUGGAAACUCCGGAGCAGUUCCUCUUCCUCAUCUGCCAUCUGCCACUCAUAUUCCCUCUUUGA
rnacentral:misc_RNA from 1 species